GCCACCGCACCAAUUUUUGCAGGCCGGAAAGGGCCAAAAAUCAGUCUGGGAUGGGCUUGUGACGGUGAUUUAAGAGGCCAGCGGGAGGAGGGGGAACCUUUGCAGACCUCCCCCCAUGGCCUUUAGGAAGCCCCCCAAAGGGGCAACAGGGAGGAAAAAAAUCACCUUUUGAACUACUUAGAAGAUGUAAAGCUACCACUAGACUUAGCCAAUGGCAACAACUGAUAGUGCUUUCCAUGCCAUCUCACCCUGAGGAUGCAGAGAUUCAUGAUCAGGUUUCUUUGAGAUGCCUCUCUUUGUCCACUUAAAUGAAAAUAUGACAAAUGUGAUGUUGAUUCCACCAGAAUUGCCUUACAGAUUAGUGGAUGUGGUCCUUCAUUAUUUCAGACAACUAUCCGGAGCUAAGAUUUUCCUUUUAGCUUUAUAAAUUUUGAUACCUGCUUGCCAAAACUGCCAGAUACAGAAUGAUAUGAAACUUACCUUCAAGCAAAAAUAUGUAAUGGUGUCUUUUGUUGUGCUUUAAAACCAAUAUAAAUGAAUUUAUCAACCAGGAAUUUUCCUAGAGAAAUGUUUGUUUGAUUGAUUGAUUGAUUGAUUUCUAUACCACCCUUCCAAAAAUGGCCCAGGGCAGUUUACAUUAAAAUAAAACUAAAAUCAAUUAACUGCUAAAAUCAAAAACUGUAAAAACAACAUAAAACCAUUAUUAAAACAAUUAAAACAGUUUUUAAAACCCUGGAAAACCAGGCCAAACCUUUACAGUUUAAAAACAGUUUAGAAAUACUGGAAGGCCACACCAAACAGAUAGGUUUUAAGGGCUCUCCUGAAAGCCAAUAAUGAACUCAGAUUAUGGAUUUCUGCCAGGAGUACAUUCCACAGCCCAGGAGCAGCUACAGAGAAGGCCCGCCUCUGAGUCGUCACCAGAUGUGCUGGUGGUAACUGAAGACGGACCUCCUCAGAUGACCUUAACAUGCAGUGGGGAUUAUGCAGAAGAAGGUGCUCUCUAAGAUAACUCGGACCUAAGCCAUUCAGGGCUUUAAAGGUAAUAACCAGCACUUUGUAUUUUGCCCGGAAACAUAUCGGCAGCCAGUGCAACUGUUUCAAAACAGGCAUAAUAUGGUCUCUCCAGGUUGCCCCAGAGACCAAUCUGGCUGCUGCAUUUUGAAUUAACUGAAGUUUCCGAACUACAUACAAAGGCAGCCCCACAUAGAGUGCAUUGCAAUAAAGCCUGGAGAUUACCAGCCGAUGCACCACUGUUUUGAUAUCAUCCUCUUCAAGGAAUGGACGCAGCUGUUGAAUCAGCCAAAGCUGAUAGAAGCACUCCUGGCUAUAGCCUCAACCCGAGAUACCAGGGUGUGGUCUGGGUCCAGGAGUACUCCCAAGCUGCAUACCUGCUCCUGCCUGGGAGUGCAACCCCAUCUAGCACAGGAAGCUCUAACUCAUCCCUCAAAUUCUGAGCCCCUACAAUGAGCACCUCUGUCUUGCUUGCAUUCAGUUUCAAUUUGUUAUCCCUCAUCCAGCCCAUUACUGCCUGUAGGAAGGCAUUUAGGGAAUUAAUGCCAUUUCCUGAUGAUGAAGAUAAAAGAAGAAAUAGAUUAAUGAAGAUGAAAAGGAGAAGUAUUAAAUAUCAUUCUAAUACUUUUAUUUCUAAGAAACACCUUCAUCUCAAAACCUGGGUCUGACCAAGAGUUAAUCAGGAUUUUGUCUGCAGAAAAUGCUGAAAUCUAAAAUUGACAUAUAAGAUCUUAUCCCACUAUUUUGUCUGAUGGAGUUCCAAAUAAAACUGCAAGUUUUGAGAUCUUCAGACAAUUGGCAAGUAAAAGAUGCCUUCAGGCUAGCCCAUGCAUACAAGUGGCCUCCAAUUGAUCCCUCAGGACCAUCUCUAGCUACAGGAAUCAUGUGCAAAAGUAUAUUGUUUGAAGCAAGCAGCCACUGAUACACACCUCUCAUUUCCCCACAAAGCAAUGACUAACGUGCUGCCAGACAUCCUUAUUUUAACAAUAUGGUCAUGUUUUGGGAGAGGAUUUUCCAUAGUCAUGAAAGUGGGUGUAUAAUUGUACUGAGAUUGCUGGAAUAUGUUUGAACUCAUGGGAGAGCAAGGUCCUAGUCUGAACAACAGUUUUGUCAAAAUAGCAGCACCGGAUAAAAAGACAGCACACCAAAACUAGACACUCAUUAGAGAGGCAGCCAAAGAAAUCAAAUGCUAAGAGAGAACUUUGAUUGAAAAGGCCUGUGUUGGUUUGGGAUGGGGUGGUAGUCUUGUGGCUCAAGCAGGAGACAAAACUAAAUUCUCAUCCAGGCUUUUCCCAAGACAAGCAACUAUUUUGUGUAUUUACCAGCAAAGGUCUCCAUGAGGUUGGAUUCACAUCAAAAGUUGGAUUCACUUUUUCCACUACAGGGUAACUCACAGCAGAUGUCUAUCAUACAUGCUCUGGUUCACCACAUGUUCAUAUCAGCUUCAAAAACUUCAGCCUGUCCCACAGCCUGAAUCUGUGCUGAACCAUUCAUAGGAACAUAGGAAGCUGCCAUAUAUUGAGUCAGAACAUUGGUCUAUCUAGCUCAGUAUUGUCUUCACAGACUGGCAGCUGCUUCUCCAAGGUUGCAGGCAGGAAACUCUCUCAGCCCUAUCUUGGAGAAGCCAGGGAGGGAAUUUGGAACCUUUUGCUCUUCCCAGAGCGGCUCCAUCCCCAAAGGGGAAGAUCUCAUAGUGCUCAUAUGGAGUCUCCCAUUCAAAUACAACCAGGGUGGACCCUGCUUAGCUAAGGGGACAAGUAAUGCUUGCUACCACAAGACCAGCCCUCCUCCCUCCCUCACAAGGCCAGAAGCUGUGUGGAUCUCUUCCAUGAGGUCAUUGGAAGUCAUUUCAUGUUCUAAACAUGAAAACAUUUUGAGAUAUUUGCUUUAAUUUCUACCUCUAGAUUACAAAAGGAGUGGGUUUCUCAAGACCCUUCCCCAUAUAUCAGUCACAAUUUGGAAACCCAAAUGCAAUAUCAGUCAUACUUUUGCUAUGUUUAGUUCCUUGUAUCCAUAGUGUCUAGUCAAAUCUCUAAAUCAAGAGUGCUUCACUUUCGUUCCAUAAGGUAAAAACUUUGUGAGGUAACUUUCUUUUUGCUAUUUGGCUAAAAAAAGAAAGAACUUAUUUCAAAAAUGUAUGAGUUAUUGAUCUAGAAAAAGGCAGGAGGUUAGAAAUGGAUUCAGAAGUUGAAGGCUGGUUGCCAAAAGGAUUGUAGGAAAGAAAUUACAGAAAUAAAUUGGAACUCAAUCUUUUGAUUAAAAUAAGCAUUGCAACAUUUCUAAAAACCAUUUUAAAGUACUAUAUCAAUGACAUCAUAUGUAUUAAAUUAAAUAAAUGUAAUAAUUUGAUUCCAGACUUAUACUGGAAUUGUUCAGAACAUAAACAAUUUCAAAACAUGGUGGAUUUGUUGAAAAGUAGACAUCUUUUGGAGAGAAGUCUAGAGGUGAUUAGAGAAAUAAUCAACCUCUCUUUUACUUUGAGAUUACUUCUAGAAUAUUUAUCUGAUUCCAGAGGAUUAUCAAGAAUUGGCAGUUAAUCUGGGCAAUCAGACUAUAAUUGAAAUCACAAGCAAGUGGAAGACAGUAGAGGAUCCUCAGGUAGGUGAAUAUUCCAAAUUGCUUGCAUAUAUUGCCGAAUUUGCCCAAAUACAAGAUGACUCUAAAUUUAAGAUGAGCCCUUUAAAAAACAGAGGUUAAAUACAGGUCCUUAUUUACCCAAAAGAAAAAGGACUCUGAAUUUAAGAUAACCCCCUGAUUUCUAACAUCAAAGCACUUUGAAAAAAACUAGUCUUGGAUUCAGGUAAAUAUAGUAAAAACUGUAUGUGGUUAAAUUAACUCACCUUUUUAGGUAUAAGGAAGACUGUGAAAGCAUCUAUAAAACAAACAGUUUUUAUUCAAACUGGAAUAAAUGCAUAAUAUUUGGAAUAGAUGUUUUAAGUCAAAAUAUUCCUCAGGACCUGUUAUUUUAUGAUCUAUCAAUGAGAUUGGAGACUAUAAAAAACAUAAAUUGAAUCAGGGUAAUUGAGUGCAGUUUGAAGUUCAGAUAUCAAUUUACUAUGUUUUAAUAAUGAAUGAUAUGUGUUAUAUUGUGUUAAUUUAUGUGUCUUCAUUGUGUUAUUUUUCUGUAGUGUACAAUUGUGAACAGUGUGAUUCUAUGCAAAUUACAUAUAUAAAAUUUUUAUACCACCCUUCCAAAAGGCUCAGGGCACUUUACAUUAAAACAACACCAUUAUAAUCAAUUUAAAAACAGAAAUUAUAAAACAGCAUAAAACAGCAAUAAUUAACAAUUAAAACAUCAUAAAACCACAAUUAAAUAGCCAGAAAAAUUUAAAAACAAGUUUUAAAAACCUGAGAAAGCUUGGUUGAAGAGCUGUGUUUUCAGAAGUUUUUUUAAAAUUGCCAGAGAUGGGGAGGCUCGUAUCUUAGUAAGGAGCGCAUUCCACAAUCUCGGGGCAGCAGCCAAGAAGGCCCAUCUCUGUGUGGCCAUCAAACGAGUUGGCAGCAACUGGAGAUGGACCUCCUCAAGUGACCUCAAUGGAAGGUGGGGCUCAUAGCAAAGAAGGCGCUGUCUUAAAUACCCAGGGCCUAA